GCUGGGCAUGGUGGCUCAUGCCUGUAGUCCCAGCUACUCGGGAGGCUGAGGCAGGAGGAUUGCUUGAGCCCAGCAGUUUGAGGUUGCUGUGACCUAGGCUGAUGCCAUGGCACUCACUCUAGCCUGGGCAACAAAGCAAGACUCUGUUGCUUUGAGAAAAAGCAGGAUUGCUUGAGCCCAGGAAUUGGAGGUUGCUGUGAGCUAGGCUGAUGCCAUGGCGGCACUGUAGCGCGGGCAACACAGUGAGACUCUGUCUCA
rnacentral:sRNA from 1 species